rnacentral:rRNA from 1 species
AGGAAGGUAGUGUAGUUAACACCUGCACUAUUUGACGUUACCUACACGAAGAAGACACCGGCUAACUCCGUGCCAGCAGCCGCGGUAAUACGGAGGGUGCGAGCGUUAAUCGGAAUUACUGGGCGUAAAGCGCAUGCAGGCGGCCUCGUUAAGUCAGAUGUGAAAGACCCGGGGCGUUAACCUCGGAAUUGCAUUUGAAACUAGGCAGGCUAGAGUCUUGUAGAGGGGGGUAGGAAGUUUCAGGUGUAGCGGUGAAAUAGCGUAGAGAUCUGAAGGAAUACCAGUGGCGAAGGCGGCCCCCUCGGACAAAGACUGACGCUCAGAUGCGAAAGCGUGGGAAGCAAACAGGAUUAGAUACCCUGGUAG